rnacentral:tRNA from 1 species
AUUUAAAUAGCUUAUAUGGAAAGUUUAAUAUUGAAGAUAUUAAGAAGAUCUUUAGAUCUUUAAAUA